rnacentral:rRNA from 1 species
AAACUAGGUGCUGCAUGGCUGUCGUCAGCUCGUGCCGUGAGGUGUUGGGUUAAGUCCCGUAACGAGCGCAACCCCUAUCAUUAGUUGCCAUCAGGUCAUGCUGGGGACUCGUAAUGAGACUGCCCGCGCAAGCGGUGAGGAAGGUGGGGACGACGUCAAGUCAUCACGGCCCUUACGUCCAGGGCUACACACGUGCUACAAUGGUAGAUACAGCAGGUUGCCACAUGGUAACAUGGAGCUAAUCCCAAAAGUCUAUCUCAGUUCGGAUUGAGGUCUGCAACUCGACCUCAUGAAGCUGGAUUCGCUAGUAAUCGAAAAAUCAGCAAUGUUUCGGUGAAUACGUUCCCGGGCCUU